UGCCAGCCGCCGCGGUAAUACGAAGGGUGCCAGCGUUGUUCGGAAUUACUGGGCGUAAAGAGCAUGUAGGCGGAUGAAUUAGUCAGAGGUGAAAGCCCCGAGCUCAACUUGGGAACUGCCUUUGAUACUGUUUAUCUAGAGUCCGAGAGAGGUUAGUGGAAUUCCGUAUGUAGCGGUGGAAUGCGUAGAUAUACGGAAGAACACCUGUGGCGAAAGCGGUUCUCUAGCUUAUUUCUGACGCUGAGGCACGAGAGCUAGGGUAGCGAACGGGAUUAGAUA
rnacentral:rRNA from 1 species